rnacentral:rRNA from 1 species
GAUGAACGCUGGCGGCGUGCCUAAUACAUGCAAGUCGAGCGAACAGACGAGGAGCUUGCUCCUCUGACGUUAGCGGCGGACGGGUGAGUAACACGUGGAUAACCUACCUAUAAGACUGGGAUAACUUCGGGAAACCGGAGCUAAUACCGGAUAAUAUAUUGAACCGCAUGGUUCAAUAGUGAAAGACGGUUUUGCUGUCACUUAUAGAUGGAUCCGCGCCGCAUUAGCUAGUUGGUAAGGUAACGGCUUACCAAGGCGACGAUGCGUAGCCGACCUGAGAGGGUGAUCGGCCACACUGGAACUGAGACACGGUCCAGACUCCUACGGGAGGCAGCAGUAGGGAAUCUUCCGCAAUGGGCGAAAGCCUGACGGAGCAACGCCGCGUGAGUGAUGAAGGUCUUCGGAUCUUAAAACUCUGUUAUUAGGGAAGAACAAAUGUGUAAGUAACUAUGCACGUCUUGACGGUACCUAAUCAGAAAGCCACGGCUAACUACGCG